UGUUCACUGUCGUCUUGCCAUGAUUGCCAUCACUGGUGCUAUUGUGCAAACACUUC
rnacentral:tRNA from 1 species